rnacentral:rRNA from 1 species
CAGGUGGAGCCUGCGGUUUAAUCGGACUCAACGCCGGGAAACUCACCAGAUAAGACAGCUGAAUGAUAGUCGGGCUGAAGACUCACUUGACUAGCUGAGAGGAGGUGCAUGGCCGUCGUCAGUUCGUACUGUGAAGCAUCCUGUUAAGUCAGGCAACGAGCGAGACCCACGCCAACAGUUGCCAGCUCGUCCUCCGGGAUGGUGGGGACACUGUUGGGACCGCCUCUGCUAAAGAGGAGGAAGGAAUGGGCAACGGUAGGUCAGCAUGCCCCGAAUUAUCUGGGCUACACGCGGGCUACAAUGGGUGGGACAAUGGGUAUCGACACCGAAAGGUGAAGGCAAUCUCCUAAACCCAUCCGUAGUUCGGAUUGUGGGCUGCAACUCGCCCACAUGAAGCUGGAAUCUGUAGUAAUCGUGUCUCAAAAUGGCACGGUGAAUAUGUCCCUGCUCCUU